CCUACGGGGGGCAGCAGUGAGGAAUAUUGGUCAAUGGACGAGAGUCUGAACCAGCCAAGUAGCGUGAAGGAUGACUGCCCUAUGGGUUGUAAACUUCUUUUAUAUGGGAAUAAAAUGUUCCACGUGUGGGAUUUUGUAUGUACCAUAUGAAUAAGGAUCGGCUAACUCCGUGCCAGCAGCCGCGGUAAUACGGAGGAUCCGAGCGUUAUCCGGAUUUAUUGGGUUUAAAGGGAGCGUAGGUGGAUUGUUAAGUCAGUUGUGAAAGUUUGCGGCUCAACCGUAAAAUUGCAGUUGAAACUGGCAGUCUUGAGGACAGUAGAGGUGGGCGGAAUUCGUGGUGUAGCGGUGAAAUGCUUAGAUAUCACGAAGAACUCCGAUUGCGAAGGCAGUUCACUGGACUGCAACUGACACUGAGGCUCGAAAGUGUGGGUAUCAAACAGGAUUAGAUACCCUAGUAGUC
rnacentral:rRNA from 1 species